UCCCCAUCUCCCUUCAGUUCCCUCCUCUGUGAAAUGGGAUUGAACACUGCGAGCCUCAGGUGGAACUGUGUCCCAAUUGAUUAGCUUAUAUCCACCCCAGUGCUUAGUAACAGCAUGGCCUAGUGGCAGGAGCACGGUCUUGGGAGUCAGAGGAUGUGGGUUCUAAUCCUAGGUCUGCCACUUGCCAGCUGCCCCCAGCCAGCUUUGAGAAAGUAGACGAAGAAAAAACGGAGGCAUUUGUUAAUUUUAAUAACAAUCGUAGAGGACCCAGAGUAGCAAAGAGAGGCAGGCUCAAGGCCAGAUGGGAAAGUAGUCCAGUCAGAACACGGACUCCCAAAAGGAUGCACCUCAAACCACAAGGAGCUAAGCAAUCCAAAGGAAGCACAAUUGAAGACUCCAAGAACUACAGACAUGGAGACAAGGAGAGCCAGCCCCGGUAAUCCUGCCCCCGUCUGAAGAAGUAGAAAUUCCCGGCCUGCCUUGAGUUUAAUAUCCGCGGACAGACGGAGGAAUGUAACCUUCCAGUGAGACGGCUGAACAUGCAGCCCUUUAACCCAGCAUCCCUGGCUCCUGAUCAAAGAGAUUAAGGAAGCUUAGACUGUAUGAACUUACAACACAUUGCCUGAAACCUUACAAACCUGAAGUCGUCGUCAUCAUCAUUGUCAUCAUCUCCACCAUCUCUCAAGGGUGUGUGUUUCCAACAGCAUCAGGGGCCCAGGGAGGAAGAGUCAGAAAGAAAUGAUGCGACAUCGAUCCGAAUCCAAAACAUGUGGCUCUUUGCAACUGCUUCUUGACGUGGAUGUGGCAGGGUUGGUCUGUGGCUGGAAGAGACUAAGCAGAGACACGGAAGAGAUGAUUCCCCCUCCUCACUCCUGCAGCCUUCUAGGAAUGAGGAGUGAAACUUCUCUUCCGUACUGACGUCCUCUUGUCCUGUGAGUUUACCUUACUCUCAGUCCACAUUCGAGCCCCUCAGAGAAGCACUGCGGCCUAGUGGAAAGAGCACGGACUUGGGAGUCAAAGGACCUGGGCUCUAAU